GACGAACCGUGCGAACGUUGUUCGGAAUCACUGGGCUUAAAGGGCGCGUAGGCGGGUGGCCGCGUCCGCGGUGAAAUCCCCCCGGCUCAACCGGGGAAGGGCCGCGGGUACGGGCGACCUCGAGGCGGGUAGGGGCGUGCGGAACACUGGGUGGAGCGGUGAAAUGCGUUGAUAUCGGAAGGAACGCCGGUGGCGAAAGCGGCGUGCUGGCCCUCUUCUGACGCUGAGGCGCGAAAGCCAGGGGAGCGAACGGG
rnacentral:rRNA from 1 species